GAUGAACGCUAGCGGCAGGCUUAAUACAUGCAAGUCGAGGGGCAUCAAGGUACACGAAAGUGUAUUGUUGGCGACCGGCGGACGGGUGAGUAAUAGGUAGGUAACCUACCUCAUACUGAGGCAUAGCUGGGAGAAAUUCCAGGUAAUUCCUCAUGAGGUUAUAUGACACAUGUGAUAUAAUCAAAGGUAUCGCAAGGUACUGGUAUGAGAUGGGCUUACUGACCAUUAGCUAGUUGGUGAGAUAAGAGCUCACCAAGGCGAAGAUGGUUAGGGGUUUUGAGAGAGAGAUCCCCCACAUUGGAACUGAGAUACGGUCCAGACUCCUAACGGGAGGCAGCAGUAGGGAAUAUUGGGCAAUGGGCGGAAGCCUGACCCAGCCAUGCCGCGUGAAAGGGAAGAACGGCCUUAUUGGGUUGUUAAAACUUUCUUUACUUAUGGACUAACUAAGUAAUUAAGUAAGAAUAAUUAACUUAUUAAUAAAUAGUAAGUCAUAAAAAAAACAAGAACCGAACCCG
rnacentral:rRNA from 1 species